CCGUCGACAACAAUGGAUAAAAGCUUGUGAAAAUCACAGAACAUGGCUACCCAAACGUACAAGUAAAGUUUGCUCCGAUCAUUUUGAUACGUCAUGUUUCUUGUUGCUGGCUAACAACAAAAGAAAAUUAAAGGAAUCAGCAACACCUACUUUGAAAUUACCAAAUGCUGACUUCGAAAAACCAACCGAUUGCCAACCAGC